rnacentral:rRNA from 1 species
CAAUAGCGUAUAUUAAAGCUGUUGCGGUUAAAAAGCUCGUAGUUGGAUUUCUGUCAAAGACAACUGGUCCGCCCUCCGGGUGAGCACAUAGUUUGGUCUUGACAUCUUGCUGGAAGCUGUUGCUGCACUUGGCUGUGUGGCGCAGUGUUCAGCACUUUCACUUUGAGGAAAUUGGAGUGUUUCAAGCAGGCACAUGCCUUUGGACACAGUAGCAUGGAAUAAUUAGAUUGGGCUUUUGCUCCAAUUUGUCGGUUUCUGGAGCUGAGGUGAGUAUUAAUGGGGAUUGUUGGGGGCAUCCGAAUUUAGCCGUCAGAGGUGAAAUUCUUGGAUCUGCUAAAGACGGACAACUGCGAAAGCGUUUGCCCAGGAUGUUUUCAUUGA